rnacentral:rRNA from 1 species
GAUGAACGCUGGCGGCAUGCCUAAUACAUGCAAGUCGAACGAGAGGAAGGAAAGCUUGCUUUUCUGAAUCUAGUGGCGAACGGGUGAGUAACACGUAGGUAACCUGCCCAUGUGCCCGGGAUAACUUCUGGAAACGGAUGCUAAAACCGGAUAGGUAGCAGACAAGCAUUUGACUGCUAUUAAAGUGGCCUUGGCCAUGAACAUGGAUGGACCUGCGGUGCAUUAGCUGGUUGGUGAGGUAACGGCCCACCAAGGCGACGAUGCAUAGCCGGCCUGAGAGGGCGGACGGCCACAUUGGGACUGAGACACGGCCCAAACUCCUACGGGAGGCAGCAGUAGGGAAUUUUCGUCAAUGGGGGGAACCCUGAACGAGCAAUGCCGCGUGAGUGAGGAAGGUCUUCGGAUCGUAAAGCUCUGUUGUAAGAGAAAAACGGCACUCAUAGGGAAUGAUGAGUGAGUGAUGG